rnacentral:rRNA from 1 species
UACGGAGGGUGCAAGCGUUAUCCGGAAUCAUUGGGUUUAAAGGGUCCGCAGGCGGUUAAUUAAGUCAGAGGUGAAAUCCAGUCGCUUAACGAUUGAACUGCCUUUGAUACUGGUUGACUUGAGUCAUAUGGAAGUAGAUAGAAUGUGUAGUGUAGCGGUGAAAUGCUUAGAUAUUACACAGAAUACCGAUUGCGAAGGCAGUCUACUACGUAUGUACUGACGCUCAUGGACGAAAGCGUGGGGAGCGAACAGG